CAAAGAGUAACGGAGGAGCACGAAGGUUGGCUAAUCCUGGUCGGACAUCAGGAGGUUAGUGCAAUGGCAUAAGCCAGCUUAACUGCGAGACGGACAGGUCGAGCAGGUGCGAAAGCAGGUCAUAGUGAUCCGGUGGUUCUGUAUGGAAGGGCCAUCGCUCAACGGAUAAAAGGUACUCCGGGGAUAACAGGCUGAUACCGCCCAAGAGUUCAUAUCGACGGCGGUGUUUGGCACCUCGAUGUCGGCUCAUCACAUCCUGGGGCUGAAGUUGGUCCCAAGGGUAUGGCUGUUCGCCAUUUAAAGUGGUACGCGAGCUGGGUUCAGAACGUCGUGAGACAGUUCGGUCCCUAUCUGCCGUGGGCGUUGGAUGAUUGAAGGGAGUUGCUCCUAGUACGAGAGGACCGGAGUGAACGAACCUCUGGUGUUCGGGUUGUCACGCCAGUGGCACUGCCCGGUAGCUAAGUUCGGAAUCGAUAACCGCUGAAAGCAUCUAAGCGGGAAGCGAGCCCUGAGAUGAGUCAUCCCUGACCCCUUGAGGGUCCUGUAGGGCCGUUGGAGACCACAACGUUGAUAGGCGGGGUGUGUAAG
rnacentral:ncRNA from 1 species